rnacentral:rRNA from 1 species
AUUGAACGCUGGCGGCAGGCUUAACACAUGCAAGUCGAACGAGUGGCGUACGGGUGAGUAAUGCCUGGGAAUCUAGCUUAUGGAUGGGGAUAACUACGGGAAACUGUAGCUAAUACCGCGUCCCAUAGUAUGAGCCCAAGUGGGAUUCGGUAGUUGGCGAGGUAAAGGCUCACCAAGCCGACGAUCUCUAGCUGGUCUGAGAGGAUGACCAGCCACACUGGAACUGAGACACGGCCAAGACGCCUACGGGAGGCAGCAGUGGGGAAUAUUGCGCAAUGGGGGCAACCUGACGCAGCGAUGCCGCGUGAAUGAAGAAGGACUUCGGGUUGUAAAGUUCUUUCGGUAGCGAGGCGUUAACUACAGAAGAAGCACCGGCUAACUCCGUGCCAGCCGCCGCGGUAAUAC